AAUUCUUAUUGUACGAAGUUGAGAAUUUAAGCCAUCUCUGCUAUAUAUACAUGGAGAGGUAGGUAAUUGUCCUUUGAGGUAUCACAAUAGUAGCUUACUAAAAAUCAAUGGAGUUGAUUAACGAGGAAAGUGCUGGUGAGCUGCUUCAAGCUCAAACUCAUGUGUGGAAUCAUAUAUUCAACUUCAUAAACUCCAUGACUCUGAAAUGUGCCGUUCAACUAGGCAUACCAGAUGUGAUCCAAAAACAUGGCAAACCCAUGACCCUCUCGGAGCUUGUUUCUGCCCUACCGAUCCACCCAUCAAAAGCUCAAUAUGUCCACCGCCUUAUGCGUAUUCUCGUGCACUCCGGUUUCUUUUCCCAGCAAAAUCUCAACCAAGAAGCCUAUUCCCUUACCCAAUCCACUCGUCUGCUUCUCAAGGAUAACCCCUUGAGUAUGAGACCUCUUUUACUUAUGUUGCUCGAUCCAGUUCUGACAAAACCCCAUGAUUGCUUGAGCACUUGGUUCCAAAAUGAUGAAGCCACCGCAUUUAGUGUUGCCCAUGAAAGGACACUUUGGGAGUACGCUGGCCAAGAUCCAAGGCUCAGCAAUCUCUUUAAUGAAGCCAUGGCUAGUGAUAGCAUACUGGCUAGCAAGCUGGUUUUAAACCAAUGCAAAGGCAUCUUUGAUGGGGUGGAUUCCUUGGUGGAUGUCGGGGGAGGCUCAGGAACCAUGGCCAAGGGCAUCGCAGAAGCAUUUCCGCACAUGGACUGCACUGUGUUUGAUCUCCCGCGUGUGGUUUCUGACUUGCAAGGCAGCAAAAACUUGAAGUAUGUUGGAGGGGAUAUGUUUGAGGCAGUUCCUGCUGCAGAUGUAAUUUUACUCAAGUGGACACUGCAUGACUGGAGUGAUGAAGACUGCGUGAAAAUACUAAAGCAAUGCAAACAUGCAAUUAUGAGUAAGGGCCAGCAGAAAGCUGGGAAGGUGAUAAUCAUAGACAUAGUGAGAGAGAGCCAAAAUGGCGAGGAGUCAAAUGAAACGCAGCUGCUUUGGGAUCUAGAAAUGAUGGUGACUGUUACUGGCCUAGAAAGGAAUGAAAUGGAGUGGGCUAAGCUCUUCUUUGAUGCAGGUUUCGUCAGCUAUAAGAUACAUAACGUGCUUGGCACAAGAGCUCUCAUUGAGCUUCAUCCUUGAUAAGCUCUUAUUUGGUCUUCUCCUCUUUUUCUUUUUUUUUCUUAAAAUGAUUAUUUUGAUCAUUCAUGAUAUCAGGUAUGGAUUUUAUACCUUGUGUGCCAAAGUUUAGCCAUAUAUGAAUUCCACGGAGUUUCAUAUGAAAUAAGAUUGGAUGUAGUUCUAUCUUGUGCAAAUAAAUCUGUUUUAUUAAUUUCCUGG